rnacentral:rRNA from 1 species
CAAAAUGAGAGUUUGAUCCUGGCUCAGGACGAACGCUGGCGGCGUGCCUAAUACAUGCAAGUCGAGCGAGCUUGCCUAUAGAAGUUCUUCGGAAUGGAAAUAGAUACAAGCUAGCGGCGGAUGGGUGAGUAACGCGUGGGUAACCUGCCCUUAAGUCUGGGAUACCAUUUGGAAACAGAUGCUAAUACCGGAUAAAAGCUACUUUCGCAUGAAAGAAGUUUAAAAG